UGAGGAAUAUUGGACAAUGGGGGAAACCCUGAUCCAGCGAUGCCGCGUGAGUGACGAAGGUCUUUGGAUUGUAAAGCUCUUUCAGCAGGGAAGAGGAUGACGGUACCUGCAGAAGAAGCCCCGGCUAACUCCGUGCCAGCAGCCGCGGUAAUACGGAGGGGGCUAGCGUUGUUCGGAAUUACUGGGCGUAAAGAGCGUGUAGGCUGUUUACCAAGUUAGACGUGAAAGCCCUGGGCUUAACCCAGGAAAUGCGUUUAAAACUGAUAAGCUAGAGUUCAGAAGAGGAUAGCGGAAUUCCAAGUGUAGAGGUGAAAUUCGUAGAUAUUUGGAAGAACACCGAUGGCGAAGGCAGCUAUCUGGGCUGUAACUGACGCUGAGACGCGAAAGCGUGGGGAGCAAACAGG
rnacentral:rRNA from 1 species